rnacentral:rRNA from 1 species
CAGUAGCCGCGGGAACACGUAGGUGGCAAGCGUUGUCCGGAAUUAUUGGGCGUAAAGGGCUCGCAGGCGGUUUCUUAAGUCUGAUGUGAAAGCCCCCGGCUCAACCGGGGAGGGUCAUUGGAAACUGGGAAACUUGAGUGCAGAAGAGGAGAGUGGAAUUCCACGUGUAGCGGUGAAAUGCGUAGAGAUGUGGAGGAACACCAGUGGCGAAGGCGACUCUCUGGCCUGUAACUGACGCUGAGGAGCGAAAGCGUGGGGAGCGAACAGGAUUAGAUACCCGGGUAGUCCCUGUCUCUUAUAC